rnacentral:rRNA from 1 species
AUGAACGCUGGCGGCGUGCCUAAUACAUGCACGUCGAACGAAACUUCUUUAUCACCGAGUGCUUGCACUCACCGAUAAAGAGUUGAGUGGCGAACGGGUGAGUAACACGUGGGCAACCUGCCCAAAAGAGGGGGAUAACACUUGGAAACAGGUGCUAAUACCGCAUAACCAUAGUUACCGCAUGGUAACUAUGUAAAAGGUGGCUAUACUACCGCUUUUGGAUGGGCCCGCGGCGCAUUAGCUAGUUGGUAGGGUAAAGGCUUACCAAGGCAAUGAUGCGUAGCCGAAUUGAGAGGUUGAUCGGCCACAUUGGGACUGAGACACGGCCCAAACUCCUACGGGAGGCAGCAGUAGGGAAUCUUCCACAAUGGGCGAAAGCCUGAUGGAGCAACGCCGCGUGGGUGAAGAAGGUCUUCGGAUCGUAAAACCCUGUUGUUAGAGAGGAAAGUGCGUGAGAGUAACUGUUCACGUUUCGACGGUAUCUAACCAGAAAGCCACGGCUAACUACGUG